rnacentral:rRNA from 1 species
GAUGAACGCUGGCGGCGUGCCUAAUACAUGCAAGUCGAGCGAACAGACGAGGAGCUUGCUCCUCAGACGUUAGCGGCGGACGGGUGAGUAACACGUGGAUAACCUACCUAUAAGACUGGGAUAACUUCGGGAAACCGGAGCUAAUACCGGAUAAUAUAUUGAACCGCAUGGUUCAAUAGUGAAAGACGGUUUUGCUGUCACUUAUAGAUGGAUCCGCGCCGCAUUAGCUAGUUGGUAAGGUAACGGCUUACCAAGGCAACGAUGCGUAGCCGAUCUGAGAGGGUGAUCGGCCACACUGGAACUGAGACACGGUCCAGACUCCUACGGGAGGCAGCAGUAGGGAAUCUUCCGCAAUGGGCGAAAGCCUGACGGAGCAACGCCGCGUGAGUGAUGAAGGUCUUCGGAUCGUAAAACUCUGUUAUUAGGGAAGAACAAAUGUGUAAGUAACUAUGCACGUCUUGACGGUACCUAAUCAGAAAGCCACGGCUAACUACGUG